rnacentral:rRNA from 1 species
UACAGAGGUGGCAAGCGUUGUUCGGAAUUACUGGGCGUAAAGGGCGCGUAGGCGGCCUUCUAAGUCAGACGUGAAAUCCCCCGGCUUAACCUGGGAACUGCGUCUGAUACUGGGAGGCUUGAGUAUGGGAGAGGGAUGUAGAAUUCCAGGUGUAGCGGUGAAAUGCGUAGAUACUGGGAGGAACACCGGUGGCGAAGGCGGCUACCUGGACCGGAACUGACGCUGAGGCGCGAAAGCGUGGGUAGCAAACAGG